rnacentral:misc_RNA from 1 species
AAGUCGUAACAAGGUUUCCGUAGGUGAACCUGCGGAAGGAUCAUUAAUGAAAUGAUUUUUUUUGGGGUUUUCCCUGAAAAAUAAUUCACCACUUGUGCAUUGUUAUUAGAUAUACUUUGGUUAGAGCUUUGAUUUCAUUUAUUGGAAUCAACUUCUUGCUGACUCUAUCCUUUCUGAGGACAGUUGGCUAUGAAGCGGCCUACCAAGGUUUUUUAUCAAACACAUUUAAUUUAUCUGACCUAAACUAUUAUAAUAAAAUCAUAACUUUCAACAACGGAUCUCUUGGCUCUC